rnacentral:rRNA from 1 species
CCUACGGGAGGCUGCAGUGGGGAAUAUUGCACAAUGGGCGCAAGCCUGAUGCAGCCAUGCCGCGUGUGUGAAGAAGGCCUUCGGGUUGUAAAGCACUUUCAGCGGGGAGGAAGGCGGUGAGGUUAAUAACCUCAUCGAUUGACGUUACCCGCAGAAGAAGCACCGGCUAACUCCGUGCCAGCAGCCGCGGUAAUACGGAGGGUGCAAGCGUUAAUCGGAAUUACUGGGCGUAAAGCGCACGCAGGCGGUCUGUCAAGUCGGAUGUGAAAUCCCCGGGCUCAACCUGGGAACUGCAUUCGAAACUGGCAGGCUAGAGUCUUGUAGAGGGGGGUAGAAUUCCAGGUGUAGCGGUGAAAUGCGUAGAGAUCUGGAGGGAUACCGGUGGCGAAGGCGGCCCCCUGGACAAAGACUGACGCUCAGGUGCGAAAGCGUGGGGAGCAAACAGGAUUAGAUACCCUAGUAGUC